GGUUACUGCUAUCGAGGUUCGACUAAGCCAUGCGAGUCGAAUGUAGCAAUACAUGGCGAACUGCUCAGUAACACGUGGACAACCUGCCCUUAGGUUGGGUAUAAACCCGGGAAACUGGGUAUAAUACCCGAUAGGUCUCGAUUGCUGGAAUGCAUCGAGAUUUAAAGCUCCGGCGCCUAAGGAUGGGUCUGCGGCCUAUCAGGUAGUAGUGGGUGUAGCGUACCUACUAGCCUACGACGGGUACGGGUUGUGAGAGCAAGAGCCCGGAGAUGGAUUCUGAGACACGAAUCCAGGCCCUACGGGGUGCAGCAGGCGCGAAAACUUUACAAUGCUGGCAACAGCGAUAAGGGAACCUCGAGUGCCAGGUUACAAAUCUGGCUGUCGAGAUGCCUAAAAAGCAUUAUAUAGCAAGGGCCGGGCAAGACCGGUGCCAGCCGCCGCGGUAACACCGGCGGCUCGAGUGGUAACCGUUAUUAUUGGGUCUAAAGGGUCUGUAGCCGGCCGGAUAAGUCUCUUGGGAAAUCUGGCAGCUCAACUGUCAGGCUUUCAGGGGAUACUGUCUGGCUCGAGGCCGGGAGAGGUGAGAGGUACUUCAGGGGUAGGGGUGAAAUCUUGUAAUCCUUGAAGGACCACCAGUGGCGAAGGCGUCUCACCAGAACGGACCUGACGGCAAGGGACGAAAGCUAGGGGCACGAACCGGAUUAGAUA
rnacentral:rRNA from 1 species